UACGUAGGGGGCGAGCGUUGUCCGGAUUUAUUGGGCGUAAAGAGCGUGUAGGCGGCCAGGUAGGUCUGCUGUGAAACUCGAGGCUCAACCUCGAGACGUCGGCGGAAACCAUCUGGCUAGAGUCCGGAAGAGGAGAGUGGAAUUCCUGGUGUGAGCGGUGAAAUGCGUAGAGAUCGGGAGGAAGGCCGGUGGCGAAGGCGGCGCUCUGGAACAUUUCUGACGCUGAGGCUCGAAAGCGUGGGGAGCAACAGG
rnacentral:rRNA from 1 species